rnacentral:rRNA from 1 species
UAACACGUAAACAACCUGCCUUCAGGAUGGGGACAACAGACGGAAACGACUGCUAAUACCGAAUGUGUUCCGGAGACCGCAUGAUUUCCGGAAGAAAGGAUGGCCUCUAUUUAUAAGCUAUCGCCUGAAGAGGGGUUUGCGUCUGAUUAGGCAGUUGGUGAGGUAACGGCCCACCAAACCUACGAUCAGUAGCCGGUCUGAGAGGAUGAACGGCCACACUGGAACUGAGACACGGUCCAGACUCCUACGGGAGGCAGCAGUGGGGAAUCUUCCGCAAUGGACGAAAGUCUGACGGAGCAACGCCGCGUGAGUGAUGACGGCCUUCGGGUUGUAAAGCUCUGUGAUCGGGGACGAAUGGCUGGUAUGCUAAUACCAUAUCAGAGUGACGGUACCCGAAUAGCAAGCCACGGCUAACUACGUGCAGCAGCCGCGGUAAUACGUAGGUGGCAAGCGUUGUCCGGAAUUAUUGGGCGUAAAGCGCGCGCAGGCGGCUUCUUAAGUCCAUCUUAAAAGUGCGGGGCUUAACCCCGUGAUGGGAUGGAAACUGGGAGGCUGGAGUAUCGGAGAGGAAAGUGGAAUUCCUAGUGUAGCGGUGAAAUGCGUAGAGAUUAGGAAGAACACCGGUGGCGAAGGCGACUUUCUGGACGACAACUGACGCUGAGGCGCGAAAGCGUGGGGGAGCAAACAGGAUUAGAUACCCUGGUAGU